ACUUGCGCACGGAGACCUCCUCCUCUCUCACGGAGAGAGCACACACGCCGAACACACACGCGCCCCAUCGCAGACGGCCACGAGGACACGAACGAGACGACGGUGAUUUCUCUCGCUGUUUUCACCUCCUCUGCUUCUUCCUUUUCUUUCGCUGCUCCUCCAUCGCCGUGCGCCGCCCACGCCGCAUCUCGUUGGCCCCCCCCCUUACGCGCGCUCUUCUUUGCUGUCUUGCUUCACGAGUCACUUAACCGCAAUACAUGCACACAUACACGCGCUGGCGCAAGCACCCGUCACACCCUUACCGACGCACCCCAUCCACGCACCCCAUCCACGCACCCCAUCCACGCCUCGCAGCGACACCUUCGCGUACGUGUGCCGUUCUCUUCCUCUUUGCUUUCUCUUGCUCGCUCGCCUACGUUGUGUGUGUCUCGACGUCUUGCCUCUUCUUGUGGCUCUCAGGCUUCACAAAUCGUUGUCUUCGUCUCUCUUUCCGUCCCUCUACCUCGAACCCGCGCUUCCGUGGUGCACACACGCACACACACACACACACACACACGCUCACGCGCUGCGCAUCAUUUGUCGGAUAACACAUCUGUGCUGCGUCAUCAUGCUGCGCUGGACCUCGCGCUACUUGUGUGCCUCCGCUGCUGCGGCUGCGGGGUCUGAGGUGCACCGCGACGUCGAGGAGUUUGCCGUUGUCAUUGUCGGCGGUGGCCCUUCGGGACUCUCCGCUGCCAUUCGGCUGAAGCAGCUCGCCGGGGACCAGAGGGACUCUUUCCGCGUCGGCCUCGUCGAAAAGGGCAGCGAGAUCGGCGCCCACACGCUCUCCGGCGCCUGUGUGGAGCCUCACGGGUUGGAUGAGCUGCUGCCUGGGUGGCGUGAGCAGGAGGGAUCCAUUCUUUCCAGCAUGACACCCGUCACGUCUGACGCUUUCCAUGUGCUGACAGGGCCGUCACGAAGCGUGAAGGUGCCGUGGCUGCCCUCGACGCUGCACAAUCGCGGUAACUACAUCACGUCUCUCGGUGGCAUGUGCAAGUGGCUUGGCGAGCAGGCCGAGGCGCUCGGGGUGGAGAUCUACCCUGGCUUUGCGGCGGCGGACGUCGUCGUUGACGAGGCGACCGGCGCCGUGACGGGGGUGCAGCUGAAUGACAGGGGCGUCGACAAGAAUGGCAGGAGGACGGCGCAGUACGAGCCCGGCAUGAUCUUCCGCGCAAAGCAGACCAUCUUCGCCGAGGGCUGCCGCGGAUCCUGCACCAAACAGUUGGAGAAGCGCUUUGGGCUGCGCGCCGCCGACAACCCGCAGACGUUCGGGCUCGGCAUCAAGGAGGUGUGGGAGGUGCCCAAGGAGCGGCACCACCCAGGCACCGUCAUGCACACGGUGGGGUGGCCGACGACGGACAAGGGGCACGACAAUACCUACGGCGGCGCCUUCCUCUACCACUACGGCGACGGCCUCAUUUCGUGCGGCUACGUGGUGGGCCUCGACUACUCGAACCCGUACUGCCGGCCGUACAUGGAGAUGCAGAAGUGGAAGACGCAUGAUCUCAUCCGAGGGCAGCUGGAGGGUGGCCGACCGAUCCUGUACGGUGCGCGCACGUUGGUCGAGGGCGGCUUCAGCGCGCUGCCGAAGCUGCACUUCCCCGGCGGCGUGCUGGCGGGGGACUGUGCUGGUUUCUUGAACCUUCCAAAGAUCAAGGGCACGCACACGGCCAUGAAGUCUGGCAUGCUCGCUGCCGAGGCCGUCUACGAGGACGCCUUCAAGGGCGGCAAGGAGGAGGCGACCAGCGGCGUGGAAUGCAAGAGCUACGACGACUGCUUCCGUAGCAGCUGGCUGUACAAGGAGCUCUACACGGUGCGCAACGUGCGGCAGAGCUUCCACAAGAGCUUCAAGUGGGGCAUGCUCUACACCGGCAUUACCUCACUCCUGCUGCACGGCCGCGAGCCGUGGACGCUGAAGCACACCACACCAGACAACUUGUCGCUGAAACCGGCGAAGGAAUGCGUGGAGAUCAAGUACCCGAAGCCUGACGGUACGCUCACCUUCGACCUACUCACUAACCACAGCCGUAGCGGAACGGCCCACAAUGCUGACCAGCCAUGCCAUCUGCGCCUGAAGGACUCCAAGGUUGCGGAGGAGGUGAAUCUGAAGACUUAUGCCGGGCCGGAGGCGCGCUUCUGCCCAGCCGGUGUAUACGAGUUCGUCAACGACAAGCUGGUGAUUAACGCGCAGAAUUGCCUCCACUGCAAGGCGUGCGACAUAAAGGACCCGACGCAGAAUAUCAACUGGACGGUGCCCGAGGGCGGCGGUGGCCCCAACUACCAGGGCCAGAUGUAAAGCCCCUCCCGCCUUUACUGCCUCCCCCUCCACACCCGUAUUUGGUAUCGCAGCACCCCCUCCCUUUUUCUCGCUGUGCGUGCGUAUGCCUGCGAGCAUCCCAUCUUUCCCCUCCCUUCCUCUGCGUCGCCGUCGCCUCUCUGUCCCUCAAAGUGCUUGCAAGUUUUUUUUUUUAUCAGGCUCGUCUCUGCUUGCGUUGCCGUGCGCAUGUAUGAGCGGGUGCGCGCCUGCUCCCUUCUUGCUCUCUCCUCCUUCGCUCUGCUUCGUUGACCCUCUCCCGCUCUUCCCACUCUCCCUGCUUACCACCGCUCUUCUUACGUGGCAGUGGCGAUCGUCGUGAUGACGUUUAGAAGGAGCGCUGGAGAAAGUUGGAGCCGAUAAUCUCAUCGGCUACACACUGCUUUCCUAGCGGUCGGCGACAGAGGUAUGCAUGGAGGGUGUGCGGCUCUUGAGGUGGUGGUGAGGGGCGGGUGCUGAGAAGAGCGAGGUGGGCCUGAGCCAGUAAAGAGAAGGCGGUGGUUCCCUGGUGUAAACCGUUGACGACGCUGUGCCGACCGCAGCGGUGUGUGUGCCGGCGUAUGCGGGCACGUAUGUAUGUGUGCGCUUGUGAACGGGACGGUUGAACGCGCGCACGCGCUCUCCCUCCCCGCCCCUCCCUCAUUUAAGUUUCUUGGACGCCUCUGCAGGUCAUCACAUAGUGCGUCUCCGCGUGUGUCUGUGCGUCUCCGCAUCUCCCCGCUUUUCUCUCUAUCUCUUCCCGUUCUCGUUUCGUGGUUUCAGAGAACCGGAGCAGCGAGGGCGAGAUAAGAGAGAGGGGCGCUGUCUCAGCAAGAGAUCCCCAAGCAAGGGGAAGAG
rnacentral:misc_RNA from 1 species